rnacentral:rRNA from 1 species
UACAGAGGUGGCAAGCGUUGUUCGGAAUUACUGGGCGUAAAGGGCGCGUAGGCGGCCUUCUAAGUCAGACGUGAAAUCCCCAGGCUUAACUUGGGAACUGCGUCUGAUACUGGAGGGCUCGAGUGCGGGAGAGGGAUGUGGAAUUCCAGGUGUAGCGGUGAAAUGCGUAGAUAUCUGGAGGAACACCGGUGGCGAAGGCGGCAUCCUGGACCGACACUGACGCUGAGGCGCGAAGGCGUGGGGAGCAAACAGG